rnacentral:rRNA from 1 species
AACGAACGCUGGCGGCAUGCCUAACACAUGCAAGUCGAACGAGACCUUCGGGUCUAGUGGCGCACGGGUGCGUAACGCGUGGGAACCUGCCCUUAGGUUCGGAAUAACUCCCCGAAAGGGGUGCUAAUACCGGAUAAUGUCUUCGGACCAAAGAUUUAUCGCCUUUGGAUGGGCCCGCGUUGGAUUAGCUAGUUGGUAGGGUAAAAGCCUACCAAGGCGACGAUCCAUAGCUGGUCUGAGAGGAUGAUCAGCCACACUGGGACUGAGACACGGCCCAGACUCCUACGGGAGGCAGCAGUGGGGAAUAUUGGACAAUGGGCGAAAGCCUGAUCCAGCAAUGCCGCGUGAGUGAUGAAGGCCUUAAGGGUUGUAAAGCUCUUUUACCCGGGAUGAUAAUGACAGUACCGGGAGAAUAAGCUCCGGCUAACUCCGUG